rnacentral:lncRNA from 1 species
UGUGAGACUCGUCGGACAUCGUCCUGACGAUCGAUGACCCUUAAUGGGCAGAGUUAGAAUUAUUCCAACCCAUCGAAAGGAGUUUCGAUGAUAUUGUGAUGAUGAUCACAGUUUAUCUCACCACCAAACAGAAUAGAACCUAUGGGGUUAUAUACAAAAGAUGUCUUUGUCCGAUGAGAUGGUUAAUCUAUGAUUAUGAAUCAUAGAGGGAUCUAAUUGUUAAUAUGAUUAAU